rnacentral:rRNA from 1 species
AUACAGAGGGCGCGAGCGUUAAUCGGAAUUACUGGGCGUAAAGGGCGCGCAGGCGGCUUGAUAAGUCAGAUGUGAAAGCCCACGGCUCAACCGUGGAAGUGCAUCUGAAACUGUCUGGCUUGAGUACUGGAGAGGAAAGUGGAAUUCCUGGUGUAGAGGUGAAAUUCGUAGAUAUCAGGAUGAACACCGGUGGCGAAGGCGACUUUCUGGACAGAUACUGACGCUGAGGCGCGAAAGCGUGGGGAGCAAACAGGAUUAGAAACCCGGGUAGUCC